UAGAAUUUCGCAUUAUGCGUGUUUUCAUCUCAGCCUACAACAACCCUGAGUCCCAACAGUAUAAAUAUCUGGUUUAUAAUGUCACAACUGAGUUGAAUCGAGGGUACAAGUUGCUGUAUCCUUUCACUUUCCUGAGAUGCAUCGUCAUACAUUUCUGGAAUGGGUCUGUGGGUGUGCAAACCAACUUGAUCUUCAAGAACCAGACAGUGGUUCCUACCAUUACCAGUGCUGAGGAAUCCCUCAAGAUGGCCAUCAAUACAUCAACCGUCUUCCUGAAUGUCAUAACUAGCAGUAUCAUU